UCAUGACUGAGAGUUGUCCUUCAUGACAACAGAACCCACAACAACCAUGACUUUUAUCACCAUCUUCAUCUGGACACUUGUCUUCUACAUUGAAGAAUCCAGAGGACAGAUCACAGUGACUCAGACUCCUACAGUGAAAACUGUUCUCCCAGGAGAGAUAGUCUCUAUGAACUGUAAAGCCAGCAUUGAUGUGCAAACUAACUGUUGGAGUUCAGGUAAACCAUGUUUAGCCUGGUAUCAACAGAAACCUGGAGGAGCUCCUAAACUACUUAUUUACUAUACUACAACACUUCAGUCUGGGACUCCAUCUAGAUUCAGUGGCAAUGGAUCUGGGAGUGACUUCACUCUGAUCAUCAGUAGAGUCCAGGCUGAAGAUGCAGGAGAUUACUACUGUCAGAGUUAUAAACAUAUCAAUAGUAAACAUUUGUUCACACAGUGAUACAGAGCCAUACAAAAACCUCCCUCAUUCAGACUGCUCAGUGAUUGUGUUGCUACAGCUGGGACCUGCUGCAGGUGCUUCGGGGGAGAGAGUGAAAUGGAACACUGGUAACUAGAUGGUCAACUGUGAUGUGACAAUAUGGUUUGAAAUCAUUCAGAUCACAUGACCAUCAUCAUCUUCAUAAUCAUCAUGGUUGGUACCAUAGAAUGAACAAAAAUAUCAAUGCAACAUAUGAAGUGUUGGUCCCAUGUUUUAUGAGCUGAAAUAAAAGAUCCCAGAAAUG